GGGCUGAUCAUUCCCUUACCCUUUAGAUGUCUAUGUCUGUUUUUGUGUGAUAAUGAAAGAAUCCCAACUCAAAAAGGCUCUGUUGAUGGUUUUUUUUUGUUGUUCAUUCAUAUUCAAACCACUAUUUUAUAUCACUGCUAAUACGCCAAGACCAUUUUAUGGUAUUCAGCCUUAUUAUUUCUAUACAUUUUGCAAGGAAAGAAACCAAGGCCUUCACUAAAAUUUCCAUAAACUUAAGGAAAGGACCUCUGGUUGUUUAAGGGGGUCAUUACUGCAAAAACAUAUUCUUCCUAAAUUUUGAAGGUCAAAGCUUAGAUCCAUUAGGUUUAAAUAGAAAAAGCAUUUAAAUAUGUUAGGAUUAUAGCAUAUGACAAAUGUGUGCCUCUCAGUGGCCAUAACUACUUUGUCUGCUGGCUCUGCAGUCGAUUGACGUUCCCCAGCGUUCAAGUCACAUGACAUAUUUAACCGGAUGUAGCUGCAAGACGGAGCCUCGUUGAUUCUCCGUUUCAACCUAUCUUAAAAGUGAGGACCUCAAACUAUAUACCAGUUUUUAAAUUGUGUUGAUAGGCCAAAUAAAACCAGAGUUAUGAUAAAUUAUGUCUGCGAUACUUUUUUUCUGCUUAUUUUGAUCACGUUCGGCGCUCGAUCGCGCUGUAUGAGACAGGAAAACAUAGCAUGCAGACAUUAGCGACAGCUCUUACAGGCGGAAAAGACUUGCCAAAAGAAAAGAAAAAAACACACUACAACAUCUCUCCUAUUGGUGGAAAACUUCACCACAACAACCAAUCCAAAAUUAUAUGGUGACUGAUUGACACGGGACGGGUGCUUGCGUUCUUCCUGCAACUUGAGAAGGGAGGGAGGGACUCUCAGCAGGGAUGCAGUCUGGGACACGUAGUUGCAAACCUAGCGACUUUGUUGUUAGAUUCAAUGACUUUUCAGACCCCCUAAUGACUUUUUUUUAGAAAGAAAGGGACUUUUAUCGACUUCUUCUGGAGUUUAGAGACUCUGACAUGAAGCAGGCUUUCCUUACUGAGGAGUUAGCAACGCUGCUAAGGGUGCAGAGCCACACAUGCGCUCCGAGCUCUGCAUGGGAGACUGAAGCUGACAGAGCUGCAGCAGUUAGCAGGUUUCACCCUCAGAGACCACCAGGGGUUCAUGUUGAGGCAUUUUCAGUUUUUUUUUUUUUUUUUUGCCACAGACACUGUCAGCACAAUCUGCAGUUACACUAACAAAAAUGCUGCAAAAAACAAAGAAUUAUGGAAAAAUUACACAUGGACUAACAUAGAGGAGGAUCUACACAAGUUUUUUACAUCAUGUUUUACAUCAUGCAUCAUUUACAUCAUGUUUUUUUGUAGUGGCAUAAAUAAAAAGUGACAUUUGUGAGACUAUACAGUGUUUUGUAAAUAAUUUUACAAAGAACGCCUGGGCCAUUGCCUGCAUUUUGAUGUAAAUAGAGGUAAAUUACUAUGUUCUUUGUUAAAAAUUUGCAUAUGUUUUGAAGUUUACAAUUUUUAUUUGAAGUUAAAGUUUUAAAAACAGUUCAUCACACAUAUUUGUGGUUUUCACAGUAAAAACGUUACUUUUUUCCACUCGGAUUUUAUGUUUUGUGUGUGAAUUUGGGUCCAAUGUGUAAAUAUAGUAUGUCAAAAUGAUAAAAUAACUGUAAAUUGACACAGGUGAGGUUGUGCUGAAAAAAAUGAUACCAGGCAAGGCAAGGUAAAAUUUUGUAAGAGGAAAUAUAAAGGUAAAAUCUAAAGUAGUCAAAAACGGCCAAUAGUGACUCCCAGACUCCACAGACAAGUCCCUUUGGCGCCACUCAGUGGGCAAAACUACUUUGUCUACUGUAAUGUAUAUUUGGGUCAUCUUUGGCGCCCCCUAAAACGUAAACCGUGGGGUGCAGCGUCAUGAUUUUUACAACUUUGAAUGGCCAUGGAGUGUAGAUUGGCCUGAGCAAAUUUGGUGUCAGUGGGACGAAAGCCUUAGGAGGAGUUAGCGAAAUUCCAAUGUGUGCGAAUCGGCAAAAAAUGCAAAAUAGCCCUUUUACCGUACAUUAUACAGAUACGCGCUCUUUGACUUUUUCGUAGAUCUAAUUGAGAUACACAUGAUUGUCAAUUUUUGUGUCAUUUUGCCAAAGCGUACAGGCGUGACAGUCAACAAUGUGUAUUUUCACCUUAGGGGACAAGAAAAAAUGGACUUUUUUCUCCUGCCAUGGGGGGGCGCUCUUUUGGGGAGUAAAAAUUCCUUCACAAAUGUGUUGAUGGCUGGACAUUGCAUCAUCCUAGAAAACUUGGAGGCCAGUGAGGACAAAAAGGAAAAGUUAUAAGACUUUGAAAUAUGUGGAUUUUAGGGUUAUCUUUGGCGCCCCCUAGAACCUAAAUCGUGGGGUGCAGCGUCAUGAUUUGAAUAACUUUUAAUGGCCAUGGGGUGUAGAUUGGCCUGAGCAAAUGUGGUGCCAGUGGAACGAAAGCCUUAGGAGGAGUUAGCGAAAUUCCAAUGUGUGCGGAUCGGCAAAAAAUGCAGAAUAACCCUUUAACCGUACAUUUGACAGAUACGCGUGCAUUGACUUUUUCGUAGAUCUUAUUGAGAUACAUGUGUGUGUCAAUUUUUGUGUCAUUUUGACAAAGCGUAUAGGCGUGACAGUCAACAAUGUGUAUUUUCACCUUAGGGGACAAGAAAAAAUGGACUUUUUUCUCCUGCCAUGGGGGGGCGCUCUUUUGGGGAGUAAAAAUUCCUUCACAAAUGUGUUGAUGGCUGGACAUUGCAUCAUCCUAGAAAACUUGGAGGCCAGUGAGGACAAAAAUAAAAAGUUAUAAGACUUUUAAGAAUGUGGAUUUUUGGGUUAUCUUUGGCGCCCCCUAGAACCUAAACCGUGGGGUGCAGCGUCAUGAUUUGAAUAACUUUUAAUGGCCAUGGGGUCUAGAUUGGCCUGAGCAAAUGUGGUGCCGGUGGAACGAAAGCCUUCGGAGGAGUUAGCGAAAUUCCAAUGUGUGCGGAUCGGCAAAAAAUGCGGAAUAACCCUUUAACCGUACAUUUGACAGAUACGCCCGCACUGACUUUUUUGUAGAUCUUAUUGAGAUACAUGUGUGUGUCAAUUUUUGUGUCAUUUUGACAAAGCGUACAGGCGUGACAGUCAAUAGUGUGAAUUUUCACCUUAGGGGGCGCUAUGGAGCCAUUUUGCAUUUUAUUGUUUGGGCGACUUCAGAAUAUCAAAUUUUUCACCAGGCCCGGUCGUCCUGCCAAAUUUCAUGAGUUUUCGCCAGUGGGAAGUGGGCCAUUUUCCAGUUCAAAGGGGAGGAAAAAGAAGAAACUAGGACCCCGUUGGGGCACUGGCGGGCCCGAGCUGUGUCGCGUCCCCCCCCCAACGCGCUGCCUCCCCGUCCCAUUUGUGUCCUCUGGCCAUCGCCCUCUCUGGUAACGCCCAUCACUGCAAAGACCCUUUUCCUUCAUCGGCGUUUGCUGUUCUUCCUGCCAGUGCGUGUUGCUUUCACUUACACUUGCCACAGCCAGCCUCUUGAGUGCCUAGCCUAUUGGAUAUCACUGUCACCUACUCAGGACAGUCAUUACCUUUCUAUUAAUACUUUGUUUUUUAAUUUCACAUUAAUUUCCAUAUUGUAUAAACAACUGGAAAAAACUUGAGCCCCUGCCCCUGUAUAAUCAUGUGCACGUCUCUGUUCUAGCUCUAAGGUGAAUCUUCACUGCUCAUGUUCUCCUCAGAAGCAGUCACCUCACUCCCCUCAGGUUACUGUACACAUGCACCAACUGCCUGCUUCAGGUUUGGAUGGAGCUUCAUGGUUGUCUUUUGGAGAAAUGACCAGUCAAGUUGUGUUUGAAAUUUGAUUUUUUUCAGGGGCAAAAGGAGCCUCUGCAUUCUUGUCAAAUAUGUAAAUAGCAUGUUUUUGCAGGUGCUAAAAACCAGACUCUGAGUGUGUGUGUGUGCGUGUGUGUGUGUGUGUGUGUGUGUGUGUGUGUGUGUGUGCGUUCAAGUCACAUGACAUAUUUAACCGGAUGUAGCUGCAAGACGGAGCCUCGUUGACUCCGUUUCAACUUAUCUCAAAAGUGAGGACCUCAACCUAUAUACCAGUUUUUAAAUUGUGUUGAUAGGCCAAAUAAAACCAGAGUUAUGAUAAAUUAUGUCCGCGAUACUUGUUUUCUGCUUAUUUUGAUCACGUUCGGCGCUCGAUCGCGCUGUAUGAGACAGGAAAACAUAGCAUGCAGACAUUAGCGACAGGUCUUACAGGCGGAAAAGGCUUGCCAAAGGAAAAAAAAAACACACCACAACAUCUCUCCUAUUGGUGGAAAACUUCACCACAACAACCAAUCCAAAAUUAUAUGGUGACUGAUUGACAAGGGGCGGGCGCUUACGUUCUUCCUGCAAUAUGAGAAGGGAGGGAGGGACUCUCAGCAGGGAUGCAGUCUGGGACACGUAGUUGCAAACCUAGCGACUUUGUUGUUAGAUUCAAUGACUUUUCAGACCCCCUAACAACUUUUUUUUUAGAAAGAAAGUGACUUUUAUCGACUUCUUCUGGAGUUUAGAGACUCUGACAUGAAGCAGGCUUUCCUUACUGAGGAGUUAGCAACGCUGCUAAGGGUGCAGAGCCACACAUGCGCUCCGAGCUCUGCAUGGGAGACUGAAGCUGACAGAGCUGCAGCAGUUAGCAGGUUUCACCCUCAGAGACCACCAGGGGUUCAUGUUGAGGCAUUUUCAGUUUUUUUUUUUUUUUUUGCCAUAGACACUGUCAGCACAAUCUGCAGUUACACUAACAAAAAUGCUGCAAAAAACAAAGAAUUAUGGAAAAAUUACACAUGGACUAACAUAGAGGAGGAUCUACACAAGUUUUUUACAUCAUGUUUUACAUCAUGCAUCAUUUACAUCAUGUUUUUUUGUAGUGGCAUAAAUAAAAAGUGACAUUUGUGAGACUAUACAGUGUUUUGUAAAUAAUUUUACAAAGAACACCUGGGCCAUUGCCUGCAUUUUGAUGUAAAUAGAGGUAAAUUACUAUGUUCUUUGUUAAAAAUUUGCAUAUGUUUUGAAGUUUACAAUUUUAAUUUGAAGUUUAAGUUUUAAAAACAGUUCAUCACACAUAUUUGUGGUUUUCACAGUAAAAACGUUACUUUUUUCCACUCGGAUUUUAUGUUUUGUGUGUGAAUUUGGGUCCAAUGUGUAAAUAUAGUAUGUCAAAAUGAUAAAAUAACUGUAAAUUGACACAGGUGAGGUUGUGCUGAAAAAAAUGAUACCAGGCAAGGCAAGGUAAAAAUUUUGUAAGAGGAAAUAUAAAGGUAAAAUCUAAAGUAGUCAAAAACGGCCAAUAGUGACUCACAGACUCCACAGACAAGUCCCUUUGGCGCCACUCAGUGGGCAAAACUACUUUGUCUACUGUAAUGUAUAUUUGGGUCAUCUUUGGCGCCCCCUAAAACGUAAACCGUGGGGUGCAGCGUCAUGAUUUUUACAACUUUGAAUGGCCAUGGAGUGUAGAUUGGCCUGAGCAAAUUUGGUGUCAGUGGGACGAAAGCCUUAGGAGGAGUUAGCGAAAUUCCAAUGUGUGCGAAUCGGCAAAAAAUGCAAAAUAGCCCUUUUACCGUACAUUAUACAGAUACGCGCUCUUUGACUUUUUCGUAGAUCUAAUUGAGAUACACAUGAUUGUCAAUUUUUGUGUCAUUUUGCCAAAGCGUACAGGCGUGACAGUCAACAAUGUGUAUUUUCACCUUAGGGGACAAGAAAAAAUGGACUUUUUUCUCCUGCCAUGGGGGGCGCUCUUUUAGGGAGUAAAAAUUCCUUCACAAAUGUGUUGAUGGCUGGACAUUGCAUCAUCCUAGAAAACUUGGAGGCCAGUGAGGACAAAAAUAAAAAGUUAUAAGACUUUUAAAAAUGUGGAUUUUUGGGUUAUCUUUGGCGCCCCCUAGAACGUAAACCGUGGGGUGCAGCGUCAUGAUUUGAAUAACUUUUAAUGGCCAUGGGGUGUAGAUUGGCCUGAGCAAAUGUGGUGCCGGUGGAACGAAAGCCUUCGGAGGAGUUAGCGAAAUUCCAAUGUGUGCGAAUCGGCAAAAAAUGCGGAAUAACCCUUUAACCGUACAUUUGACAGAUACGCGCGCAUGGACUUUUUUGUAGAUCUUAUUGAGAUACAUGUGUGUGUCAAUUUUUGUGUCAUUUUGACAAAGCGUACAGGCGUGACACUCAACAAUGUGUAUUUUCACCUUAGGGGACAAGAAAAAAUGGACUUUUUUCUCCUGCCAUGGGGGGGCGCUCUUUUGGGGAGUAAAAAUUCCUUCACAAAUGUGUUGAUGGCUGGACAUUGCAUCAUCCUAGAAAACUUGGAGGCCAGUGAGGGCAAAAAUAAAAAGUUAUAAGACUUUUAAAUAUGUGGAUUUUAGGGUUAUCUUUGGCGCCCCCUAGAACCUAAACCGUGGGGUGCAGCGUCAUGAUUUGAAUAACUUUUAAUGGCCAUGGGGUGUAGAUUGGCCUGAGCAAAUGUGGUGCCGGUGGAACGAAAGCCUUCAAAGGAGUUAGCGAAAUUCCAAUGUGUGCGGAUCGGCAAAAAAUGCGAAAUAACCCUUUAACCGUACAUUUGACAGAUACGCCCGCACUGACUUUUUUGUAGAUCUUAUUGAGAUACAUGUGUGUGUCAAAUUUUGUGUCAUUUUGACAAAGCGUACAGGCGUGACACUCAAUAGUGUGAAUUUUCACCUUAGGGGGCGCUAUGGAGCCAUUUUGCAUUUUCUUGUUUGGGCGACUUCGGAAUAUCAAAUUUUUCACCAGGCCCGGUCGUCCUGCCAAAUUUCAUGAGUUUUCGCCAGUGGGAAGUGGGCCAUUUUCCAGUUCAAAGGGGAGGAAAAAGAAAAAAGAAACAAAGAAAAACCCCUUGGGGAAUAAUAGGGCUCUCGCAGCUGCUUAGCAGCUACGCUCGGGCCCUAACUAGGGCCCCGUUGGGGCACUGGCGGGCCCGAGCCGCGGUGCGCCGCCCCCAGCGCGACCGCCUCCCUGUCCCAUUCACGUCCUCUGGCUGUCGCCCUCUCUGGUUACGCCCAUCACUGCAAAGACCCUUUUCCUUCAUCUGUGUUAGCUGGUCUUCCUGCCAGUGCAUGUUGCUUUCACUUACACUUGCCACAGCCAGCCUUGUGAGUGCCUAGCCUAUUGGAUAUCACGGUCACCUACACAGGACAGUCAUUACCUUUCUAUUAAUACUUUGUUUUUAAUUUCACAUUAAUUUCCAUAUUGUAUAAACGACUGGAAAAAACGUGAGCCCCUGCCCCUGUAUAAUCAUGUGCACGUCCCUGUUCUAGCUCCAAGGUGAAUCUUCACUGCUCAUGUUCUCCUCAGAAGCAGUCACCUCACUCCCCUCAGGUUACUGUACACAUGCACCAACUGCCUGCUUCAGGUUUGGAUGGAGCUUCAUGGUUGUCUUUUGGAGAAAUGAGCAGUCAAGUUGUGUUUGAAAUUUGCUUUUUUUCAGGGGCAAAAGGAGCCUCUGCAUUCUUGUCAAAUAUGUAAAUAGCAUGUUUUUGCAGGUGCUAAAAAAAAGACUCUGAGUGAGUGUGUGUGUGUGUGUGUGUGUGUGUGUGUGUGUGUGUGUGUGUGUGUGUGUGUGUGUGUGUGUAUCCUGCAGUACUCUGAGAAGAAUAAGCAUAUUUCUGAGGUGAAUUUUGAAGAUUCAUCUGAGAGUCAGGAGGGCUGAUCAUUCCCUUACCCUUUCGAUGUCUGUCUAUGUCUGUUUUUGUGUAAUAAUGAAAGAAUCCCAACACAAAAAGGCUCUGUUGAUGUUUUUUUUUGUUGUUCAUUCAUAUUCAAACCACUAUUUUAUAUCACUGCUAAUACGCCAAGACCAUUUUAUGGUAUUUAGCUUUAUUAUUUCUAUGCAUUUUGCAAGGACAGAAACCAAGGCCUUCACUAAAAUUUCCAUAAACUUUAGGAAAGGACCUCUGGUUGUUUAAGGGGGUCAUUACUGCAAAAACAUAUUCUUCCUAAAUUUUGAAGGUCAAACCUUAGAUCCAUUAGGUUUAAAUAGAAAAAGCAUUAAAAUAUGUUAGGAUUAUAGCAUAUGACAAAUGUGUGCCUCUCAAUGGCCAUAAGUACUUUGUCUGCUGGCUCUGCAGUCGAUUGACGCUCCCCAGCGUUCAAGUCACAUGACAUAUUUAACCGGAUGUAGCUGCAAGAUGGAGCCUCGUUGACUCUCCGUUUCAACUUAUCUCCAAAGUGAGGACCUUAAACUAUAUACCAGUUUUUAAAUUGUGUUGAUAGGCCAAAUAAAACCAGAGUUAUGAUAAAUUAUGUCUGCGAUACUUUUUUUCUGCUUAUUUUUAUCACGUUCGGCGCUCGAUCGCGCUGUAUGAGACAGGAAAACAUAGCAUGCAGACAUUAGCGACAGGUCUUACAGGCGGAAAAGGCUUGCCAAAAGAAAAAAAACACACCACAACAUCUCUCCUAUUGGUGGAAAACUUCACCACAACAACCAAUCCAAAAUUAUAUGGUGACUGAUUGACAAGGGGCGGGCGCUUACGGUCUUCCUGCAACAUGAGAAGGGAGGGAGGGACUCUCAGCAGGGAUGCAGUCUGGGACACGUAGUUGCAAACCUAGCGACUUUGUUGUUAGAUUCAAUGACUUUUCAGACCACCUAACGCCUUUUUUUUUUUAGAAAGAAAGGGACUUUUAUCGACUUCUUCUGGAGUUUAGAGACUCAGGCAUGAAGCAGGCUUUCCUUACUGAGGAGUUAGCAACGCUGCUAAUGGUGCAGAGCCACACAUGUGCUCCGAGCUCUGCAUGAAGCUGACAGAUCUGCAGCAGUUAGCAGGUUUCACCCUCAGAGACCACCAGGGGUUCAUGUUGAGGCAUUUUCAGUUUUUUUUUUUUUUUGCCAUAGACACUGUCAGCACAAUCUGCAGUUACACUAACAAAAAUGCUGCAAAAAACAAAGAAUUAUGGAAAAAUUACACAUGGACUAACAUAGAGGAGGAUCUACACAAGUUUUUUACAUCAUGUUUUACAUCAUGCAUCAUUUACAUCAUGAUUUUUUGUAGUGGCUUAAAUAUAAGUGACAUUUGUGAGACUAUACAGUGUUUUGUAAAUAAUUUUACAAAGAACGCCUGGGCCAUUGCCUGCAUUUUGAUGUAAAUAGAGGUAAAUUACUAUGUUCUUUGUUAAAAAUUUGCAUAUGUUUUGAAGUUUACAAUUUUUAUUUGAAGUUUAAGUUUUAAAAACAGUUCAUCACACAUAUUUGUGGUUUUCACAGUUAAAAUGUUACUUUUUUCCACUCGGAAUUUAUGUUUUGUGUGUGAAUUUGGGUCCAUUGUGUAAAUACAGUAUGUCAAAAUGAUAAAAUAACUGUAAAUUCACACAGGUGAGGUUGUGCUGAAAAAAAUGAUACCAGGCAAGGCAAGGUAAAAAAAAAUUUAAGAGGAAAUAUAAAGGUAAAAUCUAAAGUAGUCAAAAACGGCCAAUAGUGACUCCCAGACUCAAUAGACAAGUCCCUUUGGCGCCACUCAGUGGGCAAAACUACUUUGUCUGCUGUAAUGUAUAUUUGGGUCAUCUUUGGCGCCCCCUAGAACGUAAACCGUGGGGUGCAGCGUCAUGAUUUUUACAACUUUGAAUGGCCAUGGGUUGUAGAUUGGCCUGAGCAAAUUUGGUGUCAGUGGGACGAAAGCUGUAGGACGAGUUAGCCACAUUCCAAUGUGUGCGAAUCAGCAAAAAAUGCAAAAUAGCCCUUUAACCGUACAUUUUACAGAUACGUGCCCAUUGACUUUUUCGUAGAUCUUAUUGAGAUACAUGUGUGUGUCAAUUUUUGUGUCAAUAUGACAAAGCGUACAGGCGUGACAGUCAACAAUGUGUAUUUUCACCUUAGGGGACAAGAAAAAAUGGACUUUUUUCUCCUGCCAUGUGGGGGCGCUCUUUUGGGGAGUAAAAAUUCCUUCACAAAUGUGUUGAUGGCUGGACAUUGCAUCAUCCUAGAGAACUUGGAGGCCAGUGAGGAAAAAAAUAAAAAGUUAUAAGACUUUUAAGAAUGUGGAUUUUUUGGUUAUCUUUGGCGCCCCCUAGAACCUAAACCUUGGGGUGCAGCGUCAUGAUUUUGAUAACUUUAAAUGGCCACGGGGUGUAGAUUGGCCUGAGCAAAUGUGGUGCCGGUGGAACGAAAGCCUUCGGAGGAGUUAGCGAAAUUCCAAUGUGUGCGGAUCGGCAAAAAAUGUGAAAUAACCCUUUAACCGUAAUUUUGACAGAUACGGCCGCACUGACUUUUUUGUAGAUCUUAUUGAGAUACAUAUGUGUGUCAAUUUUUGUGUCAAUAUGACAAAGCGUACAGGCGUGACAGUCAAUAGUGUGAAUUUCCACCUUAGGGGGCGCUAUGGAGCCAUUUUGCAUUUUAUUGUUUGGGCGACUUCAGAAUAUCGAAUUUUUCACCAGGCCCGGUCGUCCUGCCAAAUUUCAUGAGUUUUCGCCAGUGGGAAGUGGGCCAUUUUCCAGUUCAAAGGGGAGGAAAAAGAAGAAAGAAAGAAAGAAAGAAAGAAAGAAACAAAGAAAAACCACUUGGGGAAUAAUAGGGCUCUACGCCCGGCUGCUCUGCAGCUGGCUCGGGCCCUAAGAAAGAAAGAAACAAAGAAAAACCACUACAGGAAUAAUAGGGCUCUACGCCCGGCUGCUCUGCAGCUGGCUCGGGCCCUAACAAGACCGUGACUAUAGUCAUUGUCUUUGAGGUUUGUUCCUGUGUGGUUUGCCCUGCCCCCAUCUUGUCACAUCUGCCUCCUGAUUGUUCAUCCCCACCAGUUUCCCUUCACCCUCAUUGCCACUUGUAUUUAACCCCAUGUCUCUCACUGUCUCUUUGCCAUUUCUAUUACUAUACUAUACUAUACUAUACUAUACUAUACUAUACUAUACUAUACUGUUGUUACAAAUUAGCACAGAAGUGCACCAAGGAAAUGGUAAGGAUGAAUAUGACAUUUCGAAGAUCUUAAGCUGUAGUUUAGCCAGCAAAAAACAGCAAGUCACUAACUUUAACCACUCACUACUUAUGAUGCUGUGAAGAUAGGAUGGAAUUUUGGGGUGCAUAUGUUCAGUGUCACAGGGAUUAAUAUCAGGACGAGUAUACAAAUAUAUGUACUCACCAAGAAGCCACCCACCACACACAAUGCCAGCUUGUAGCCUGUUUUCAACCACGCAUACUCAGAAUGUAUGAAUUAUGCGUAAACUGAGCAACAGCAUUGAGAAGGAUUAAAAUAAAAUAAAAUAAAAAUAAUGCAGCCAACUACAUCAAGGCUGGGCUCAAGCUAUUUUUAACUGCACCAAACUGCUUCUCCAAGACACAACAUGCCACAGAAGCCAAAGUCAGAAGUGAAACCCUUACCUGUGAGGGUGUCACACUCUCACAGAUAAAUGACCUACAACAACACCAGUCGGAUAUGUUCACUGCACUCCAACUACAGCAACAGGAGAAUAAAAGCAAGAAAUAAAAGCCUUUACACGCUUAACACAGAAAAAGUGGAUGAUAUAAAAACUUGCAGUACAAAGCAAUCUAAGCACUGCAAUGCCAUGCAGUUUGAAAACUUAAAGAUGUGUGAAAGUCUGUUAACCUUCACGGAUAGGUUGGAAUAUCUGGAGGGUCAGUCUAAAAGGAGCAAAUUGAUCAUAGAUGGGAUAGAGGAGACACCUGGACACCUGGGCUGAAUCAGAAGAAAAGGUGAAAUAGAUUUCGACAGACAAACUUCAGCUACAGUGGGUGAUGGAGGUGGAGAGAGCACAAGCUGUUAAGUUCUUCAAACACAAGGACUGAUCAGCAAUCUUGCAGAGGGCCAAAUGUCUCGAAGGUUCAAAAAUCUAUAUAAAUGAAGACUUCACAGAUGCUAUCCAACUGAAUAGAAAGAAACUGUUGCUAAAGAUGAAAGCUGCAAGCCUCACAGCAACCCAAGGGAACAUGAAGAUGCAUAGCUCUUGCAGGUAUAGUUCCCUUUAUACUCUGACCGUAAAUUCAACAAUACCACACAUAUUUAGGGCCCGAGCGUAGCUGCUAAGCAGCUGCGAGAGCCCUCUUGUUCCUGCAUGUUUCCUUCUUUUUAGGGCCCGAGCCAGCUGCAGAGCAGCCAGGCGUAGAGCCCUAUUAUUCCUGAUGAGUUUUUCUUUCUUCUUUCUUUAGGGCCCGAGCCAGCUGCAGAGCAGCCGGGCGUAGAGCCCUAUUAUUCCCCAAGUGGUUUUUCUUUGUUUCUUUAGGGCCCGAGCGUAGCUGCUAAGCAGCUGCGAGAGCCCUAUUAUUCCUCAAGUGGUUUUUCUUUGUUUCUUUCUUUCUUUCUUAGGGCCCGAGCCAGCUGCAGAGCAGCCGGGCGUAGGCCCUGUUAUUCCUGUAGGGGUUUUUCUUUGUUUCUUUCUUUCUUCUUUUUCCUCCCCUUUGAACUGGAAAAUGGCCCACUUCCCACUGGCGAAAACUCAGGAAAUUUGGCAGGACGACCGGGCCUGGUGAAAAAUUCGAUAUUCUGAAGUCGCCCAAACAAAAAAAUUAAAAAUGGCUCCAUAGCGCCCCCUAAGGUGGAAAUUCACACUAUUGACUGUCACGCCUGUACGCUUUGUCAAAAUGACACAAAAAUUGACACACACAUGUAUCUCAAUAAGAUCUACAAAAAAGUCAGUGCGGCCGUAUCUGUCAAAAUUACGGUUAAAGGGUUAUUUUGCAUUUUUUGCCGAUCCGCACACAUUGGAAUUUCGCUAACUCCUCCGAAGGCUUUCGUUCCACCGGCACCACAUUUGCUCAGGCCAAUCUACACCCCGUGGCCAUUAAAAGUUAUCAAAAUCAUGACGCUGCACCCCAAGGUUUAGGUUCUAGGGGGCGCCAAAGAUAACACUAAAAUCCACAUAUUUAAAAGUCUUAUAACUUUUUAUUUUUGUCCUCACUGGCCUCCAAGUUUUCUAGGAUGAUGCAAUGUCCAGCCAUCAACACAUCUGUGAAGGAAUUUUUACUCGCCAAAAGAGCGCCCCCCCAUGGCAGGAGAAAAAAGUCCAUUUUUUCUUGUCCCCUAAGGUGAAAAUACACAUUGUUGAGUGUCACGCCUAUACCCUUUGGCAAAAUGACACAAAAAUUGACACACACAUGUAACUCAAUAAGAUCUACAAAAAAGUCCAUGCACGCGUAUCUGUCAAAAUUACGGUUAAAGGGUUAUUUCGCAUUUUUUGCCGAUCCGCACACAUUGGAAUUUCGCUAACUCCUCCGAAGGCUUUCGUUCCAUUGGCACCACAUUUGCUCAGGCCAAUCUACACCCCAUGCCCAUUAAAAGUUAUUAAAAUCAUGAUGCUGCACCCCAUGGUUUACGUUCUAGGGGGCGCCAAAAAUAACCCAAAAAUCCACAUUCUUAAAUGUUUUAUAACUUUUUAUUUUUGUCCUCACUGGCCUCCAAGUUUUCUAGGAUGAUGCAAUGUCCAGCCAUCAACACAUUUGUGAAGGAAUUUUUACUCCCCAAAAGUUCGCCCCCCCAUGGUAGGAGAAAAAAGUCAAUUUUUUCUUGUCCCCUUACAUGAAAAUACACAUUGUUGAGUGUCACGCCUGAACGCUUUGUCAUAUUGACACAAAAAUUGACAAUCAUGUGUAUCUCAAUUAGAUCUACGAAAAAGUCAAAGAGCGCGUAUCUGUAUAAUGUACGGUUAAAGGGCUAUUUUGCAUUUUUUGCCGAUUCGCACACAUUGGAAUGUGGCUAUCUCCUCCUAAGGCUUUCGUCCCACCGAUACCAAAUUUGCUCAGGGCAAUCUACACCCCAUGCCCAUUCAAAGUUGUAAAAAUCAUGACGCUGCACCCCACGGUUUACGUUCUAGGGGGCGCCAAAGAUGACCCAAAAAUCCACAUUCUUAAAAGUCAUUUUGGCCACUGCAGGAGUACAGAGUACUGCAGUUCUAGGGGGCGCCAAAGAUGACCCAAAAAUCCACAUUCUUAAAAGUCUUUUUGGCCACUGCAGGAGUACAGAGUACUGCAGGAUACACACACAUAUACACACACGCCAACAUACACACACACACACACACACACACACACACACACACACAGAUUCACACACACACUCAGAGUCUGUUUUUUAGCACCUGCAAAAACAUGCUGUUUACAUAUUUGACAAGAAUGCAGAGGCUUCCUUUUGCCCCUGAAAAAAAUCAAAUUUCAAACAAAACUUGACUGUUCAUUUCUCCAAAAGACAACCAUGAAGCUCCAUUUCAAACCUGAAGCAGAUAGUUGGUGCAUGUGUACAGUAACCUGAGGGGAGUGAGGUGACUAUUUCUGAGGAGAACAUGAGCAGUGAAGAUUCACCUUGGAGCUAGAACAGGGACGUGCACAUGAUUAUACAGGGGCAGGGGCUCAAGUUUUUUCCAGUCAUUUAUAUAAUAUGGAAAUUAAUGUGAAAUUAAACCACAAAUAUGUGUGAUGAACUGUUUUUAAAACUUAAACUUCAAAUAAAAAUUGUAAACUUCAAAACAUAUGCAAAUUUUAAACAAAGAACAUAGUGAUUUACCUCUAUUUUCAUCAAAAUGCAGGCAAUGGCCCAGGCGUUCUUUGUAAAAUUAUUUACAAAACACUGUAUAGUCUCACAAAUGUCACUUUUUAUUUAUGCCACUACAAAAAAACAUGAUGUAAAUGAUGCAUGAUGUAAAACAUGAUGUAAAAAACUUGUGUAGAUCCUCCUCUAUGUCAGUCCAUGUGUAAUUUUUCCAUAAUUCUUUGUUUUUUGCAGCAUUUUUGUUAGUGUAACUGCAGAUUGUGCUGACAGUGUCUAUGGCACACAAAAAAAAAAUUUAAAAUGCCUCAACAUGAACCCCUGGUGGUCUCUGAGGGUGAAACCUGCUAACUGCUGCAGCUCUGUCAGCUUCAGUCUCCCAUGCAGAGCUCGGAGCGCAUGUGUGGCUCUGCACCCUUAGCAGCGUUGCUAACUCCUCAGUAAGGAAAGCCUGCUUCAUGUCAGAGUCUCUAAACUCCAGAAGAAGUCGAUAAAAGUCACUUUCUUUCUAAAAAAAAGUCGUUAGGGGGUCUGAAAAGUCAUUGAAUCUAACAACAAAGUCGCUAGGUUUGCAACUACGUGUCCCAGACUGCAUCCCUGCUGAGAGUCCCUCCCUCCCUUCUCAUAUUGCAGGAAGAACGUAAGUUCCUGCCCCUUGUCAAUCAGUCACCAUAUAAUUUUGGAUUGGUUGUUGUGGUGAAGUUUUCCACCAAUAGGAGAGAUGUUGUGGUGUGUUUUUUUUUUUCCUUUGGCAAGCCUUUUCCGCCUGUAAGACCUGUCGCUAAUGUCUGCAUGCUAUGUUUUCCUGUCUCAUACAGCGCGAUCGAGCGCCGAACGUGAUCAAAAUAAGCAGAAAACAAGUAUCGCGGACAUAAUUUAUCAUAACUCUGGUUUUAUUUGGCCUAUCAACACAAUUUAAAAACUGGUAUAUAGGUUGAGGUCCUCACUUUUGAGAUAAAUUGAAACGGAGAGUCAACGAGGCUCCGUCUUGCAGCUACAUCCGGUUAAAUAUGUCAUGUGACUUGAACGCACACACACACACACACACACACACAGACACACACACACACGCCUCACACACACUCAGAGUCUGGUUUUUAGCACCUGCAAAAACAUGCUAUUUACAUAUUUGACAAGAAUGCAGAGGCUCCUUUUGCCCCUGAAAAAAAUCAAAUUUCAAACACAACUUGACUGGUCAUUUCUCCAAAAGACAACCAUGAAGCUCCAUCCAAACCUGAAGCAGGCAGUUGGUGCAUGUGUACAGUAACCUGAGGGGAGUGAGGUGACUGCUUCUGAGGAGAACAUGAGCAGUGAAGAUUCACCUUAGAGCUAGAACAGAGACGUGCACAUGAUUAUACAGGGGCAGGGGCUCAAGUUUUUUCCAGUUGUUUAUACAAUAUGGAAAUUAAUGUGAAAUUAAAAAACAAAGUAUUAAUAGAAAGGUAAUGACUGUCCUGUGUAGGUGACAGUAAUAUCCAAUAGGCUAGGCACUCACGAGGCUGGCUGUGGCAAGUGUAAGUGAAAGCAAAAAGCACUGGCAGGAAGAACAGCAAACGCCGAUGAAGGAAAAGGGUCUUUGCAGUGAUGGGCGUUACCAGAGAGGGCGAUGGCCAGAGGACACAAAUGGGACGGGGAGGCAGCGCGUUGGGGGGGGGACGCGACACAGCUCGGGCCCGCCAGUGCCCCAACGGGGUCCUAGUUUCUUCUUUUUCCUCCCCUUUGAACUGGAAAAUGGCCCACUUCCCACUGGCGAAAACUCAUGAAAUUUGGCAGGACGACCGGGCCUGGCUAAAAAUUUGAUAUUCCGAAGUCACCCAAACAAGAAAAUGCAAAAUGGCUCCAUAGCGCCCCCUAAGGUGUAAAUUCACACUAUUGACUGUCACGCCUGUACGCUUUGUCAUAUUGAGACAAAAUUUGACACACAUAUGUAUCUCAAUAAGAUCUACAAAAAAGUCAGUGCGGGCGUAUCUGUCAAAUGUACGGUUAAAGGGUUAUUUCGCAUUUUUUGCCGAUCCGCACACAUUGGAAUUUCGCUAACUCCUCCGAAGGCUUUCGUUCCACCAGCGCCACAUUUGCUCAGGCCAAUCUACACCCCAUGGCCAUUAAAAGUUAUUCAAAUCAUGACGCUGCACCCCACGGUUUAUGUUCUAGGGGGCGCCAAAAAUAACCCUAAAAUCCACAUAUUUAAAAGUCUUAUAACUUUUUAUUUUUGUCCUCACUGGCAUCCAAGUUUUCUAGGAUGAUGCAAUGUCCAGCCAUCAACACAUUUGUGAAGGAAUUUUGACUCCCCAAAAGAGCGCCCCCCCAUGGCAGGAGAAAAAAGUCCAUUUUUUCUUGUCCCCUAAGGUGAAAAUACACAUUGUUGAGUGUCACGCCUGUACGCUUUGUCAAAAUGACACAAAAAUUGACACACACAUGUAUCUCAAUAAGAUCUACGAAAAAGUCAAUGUGCGCGUAUCUGUCAAAUGUACGGUUAAAGGGUUAUUUCGCAUUUUUUGUCGAUCCGCACACAUUGGAAUUUCGCUAACUCCUCCGAAGGCUUUCGUUCCACCGGCACCACAUUUGCUCAGGCCAAUCUACACCCCAUGGCCAUUAAAAGUUAUUCAAAUCAUGACGCUGCACCCCACGGUUUACGUUCUAGGGGGCGCCAAAGAUGACCCAAAUAUCCACAUUCUUAAAAGUCUUAUAACUUUUUAUUUUUGUCCUCACUGGCCUCCAAGUUUUCUUGGAUGAUGCAAUGUCCAGCCAUCAACACAUUUGUGAAGGAAUUUUUACUCCUCAAAAGAGCGCCCCCCCCCAUGGCAGGAGAAAAAAGUCCAUUUUUUCUUGUCCCCUUAGGUGAAAAUACACAUUGUUGAGUGUCACGCCUGUACGCUUUGUCAAAAUGACACAAAAAUUGACACACACAUGUAUCUCAAUAAGAUCUACGAAAAAGUCAAUGCGCGCGUAUCUGUCAAAUGUACGGUUAAAGGGUUAUUCCGCAUUUUUUGCUGAUCCGCACACAUUGGAAUGUGGCUAACUCCUCCUAAGGCUUUCGUUCCACCGGCACCACAUUUGUUCAGGCCAAUCUACACCCCAUGGCCAUUAAAAGUUAUUCAAAUCAUGACGCUGCACCCCACGGUUUACGUUCUAGGGGGCGCCAAAGAUGACCCAAAUAUCCACAUUUUUUGAAGUCUUAUAACUUUUUAUUUUUGUCCUCACUGGCCUUUUGUCCCACUGACACCAAAUUUGCUCAGGCCAAUCUACACCCCAUGGCCAUUAAAAGUUAUUCAAAUCAUGACGCUGCACCCCACGGUUUAGGUUCUAGGGGGCGCCAAAGAUAACCGUAAAAUCCACAUAUUUAAAAGUCUUAUAACUUUUUAUUGUUGUCCCCACUGGCCUCCAAGUUUUCUAGGAUGAUGCAAUGUCCAGCCGUCAACACAUUUGUGAAGGAAUUUUUACUCCCCAAAAGAGCGCCCCCCCCAUGGCAGGAGAAAAAAGUCCAUUUUUUCUUGUCCCCUAAGGUGAAAAUACACAUUGUAGAGUGUCACGCCUGUACGCUUUGUCAAAAUGACACAAAAAUUGACACACACAUGUAUCUCAAUAAGAUCUAUAAAAAGUCAAUGCGCGCGUAUCUGUCAAAUGUACGGUUAAAGGGUUAUUCCGCAUUUUUUGCCGAUCUGCACACAUUGGAAUUUCGCUAACUCCUCCGAAGGCUUUGGUUCCACCGGCACCACAUUUGCUCAGGCCAAUCUACACCCCAUGGUCAUUAAAAGUUAUUCAAAUCAUGACGCUGCACCCCACGGUUUAGGUUCUAGGGGGCGCCAAAGAUAACCCAAAAAUCCACAUAUUUAAAAGUCUUAUAACUUUUUAUUUUUGUCCUCACUGGCCUCCAAGUUUUCUAGGAUGAUGCAAUGUCCAGCCAGCAACACAUUUGUGAAGGAAUUAUGUUUCCCCAAAAGAGCGCCCCCCCAUGGGAGGAGAAAAAGUCAAGUUUUUCCUGCCCAUCGCUCAAUGGCUCAAACGCAUCGCUCUCUCGGCAAAACCAAAAAGAGGAGCAACUUGCCAUUUGGAUAUAUCUUAGCUGUGUUUGUGCCCUCACUCAUGGUCCACACUUUUUUCAAAUAGGACAUGUAGUUUGUCUGCAGCAAGCAUUGUGGUAGAAACUGCGCAUCCCAUUCAUUAUAAUGGUAAAUGACCACAGACAAGUGGUCCUUGAGGACCUUGAGUGUGACGCGAUAGGGAGGGGGAGGCGGUCGCGCUGGGGGCGGCGCGACACGGCUCGGGCCCGCCAGUGCCCCACCGGGGCCCUAGUUCUUUCUUUAGGGCCCGAGCGUAGCUGCUAAGCAGCUGCGAGAGCCCUAUUAUUCCCCAAGUGGUUUUUCUUUGUUUCUUUGUUUCUUUCUUUCUUAGGGCCCGAGCGUAGCUGCUAAGCAGCUGCGAGAGCCCUAUUAUUCCCCAAGUGGUUUUUCUUUGUUUCUUUCUUUCUUUAGGGCCCGAGCGUAGCUGCUAAGCAGCUGCGAGAGCCCUCUUGUUCCUGAUGGAUUCUUCUUUUGUUAGGGCCCGAGCGUAGCUGCUAAGCAGCUGCGAGAGCCCUCUUGUUCCUGCAUGUUUCCUUCUUUUUAGGGCCCGAGCGUAGCUGCUAAGCAGCUGCGAGAGCCCUCUUGUUCCUGAUGGAUUCUUCUUUUGUUAUUAUUAUUAUUAUUUUUCCUCCGCUUUAAACUGGAAAAUGGCCCACUUCCCACUGGCGAAAACUCAUGAAAUUUGGCAGGACGACCGGGCCUGGUGAAAAAUUCGAUAUUCUGAAGUCGCCCAAACAAUAAAAUGCAAAAUGGCUCCAUAGCGCCCCCUAAGGUGGAAAUUCACACUAUUGACUGUCACGCCUGUACGCUUUGUCAUAUUGACACAAAAAUUGACACACACAUGUAUCUCAAUAAGAUCUACAAAAAAGUCAGUGCGGGCGUAUCUGUCAAAUGUACGGUUAAAGGGUUAUUUCGCAUUUUUUGCCGAUCCGCACACAUUGAAAUUUCGCUAACUCCUCCGAAGGCUUUCGUUCCACCGGCACCACAUUUGCUCAGGCCAAUCUACACCCCAUGGCCAUCGAAAGUUGUACAAAUCAUGACGCUGCACCCUACGGUUUAGGUUCUAGGGGGCGCCAAAGAUAACCAAAAAAUCCACAUUCUUAAAAGUCUUAUAACUUUUUAUUUUUGUCCUCACUGGCCUCCAAGUUCUCUAGGAUGAUGCAAUGUCCAGCCAUCAACACAUUUGUGAAGGAAUUUUUACUCCCCAAAAGAGCGCCCCCACAUGGCAGGAGAAAAAAGUCCAUUUUUUCUUGUCCCCUAAGGUGAAAAUACACAUUGUUGAGUGUCACUCCUAUACGCUUUGUCAUAUUGACCCAAAAUUUGACAAUCACGUGUAUCUCAAUAAGAUCUACGAAAAAGUCAAUGGGCACGUAUCUGUAAAAUGUACGGUUAAAGGGUUAUUUCGCAUUUUUUCCCGAUCCGCACACAUUGGAAUUUCGCUAACUCCUCCGAAGGCUUUAGUUCCACCGCCACCAAAUUUGCUCAGGCCAAUCUACACCCCAUGGCCAUUGAAAGUUGUACAAAUCAUGACGCUGCACUCCACGGUUUAGGUUCUAGGGGGCGCCAAAGAUAACCCAAAAAUCCACAUUCUUAAUAGUCUUAUAACUUUUUAUUUUUGUCCUUACUGGCCUCCAAGUUUUCUAGGAUGAUGCAAUGUCCAGCCAUCAACACAUUUGUAAAGGAAUUUUUACUCCCGAAAAAAGCGCCCCCCCAUGGCAGGAGAAAAAAGUCCAUUUUUUCUUGUCCCCUAAGGUGAAAAUACACAUUGUUGAGUGUCACGCCUAUACGCUUUGUCAUAUUGACCCAAAAUUUGACACACACGUGUAUCUCAAUAAGAUCUACGAAAAAGUCAAUGGGCACGUAUCUGUAAAAUGUACGGUUAAAGGGCUAUUUCGCAUUUUUUGCCGAUUCGCACACAUUGGAAUGUGGCUAACUCCUCCUAAGGCUUUCUUCCCACCGACACCAAAUUUGCUCAAGCCGAUCUACAUCCCAUGGCCAUUCAAAGUUGUAAAAAUCAUGCCGCUGCACCCCAUGGUUUACGUUCUAGGGGGCGCCAAAGAUGACCCAAAUAUCCACAUUCUUAAAAGAAUCCACAUCCCCCCCCCCCCAAGGCAGGAGAAAAAGUCCAGUUAACCCUGCCCAUCGCUCAAUGGCUCAAUCGCAUCGCUCUCCUGGCAACACCGUAAGGAGGAGCAACUUGCCGUUUGGAUAUAUCCUAGCUGUGUUUGUGCCCUCACUCAUGGUCCAGACUUUUUUCAAAUAGGACAUGUAGUUUGUCUGCAGCGAGCGUUUUGGUAGAAACUGCGCCUCCCAUUCAUUAUAAUGGGAAAUGACCACAGACAAGUGCGCACACCAUCUUUGGACCUUGAGUGUGAUGCGAUCGGGAGGGGGAGGCGGUCGCGCUGGGGGCGGCGCGACGCGGCUCGGGCCCUACAGUGCCCCACCGGGGCCCUAGUGUUAUUAUUAUUAUUUUUCCUCCCCUUUAAACUGGAAAAUGGCCCACUUCCCACUGGCGAAAACUCAUGAAAUUUGGCAGGACGACCGGGCCUGGUGAAAAAUUUGAUAUUCUGAAGUCGCCCAAACAAUAAAAUGCAAAAUGGCUCCAUAGCGCCCCCUAAGGUGGAAAUUCACAGUAUUGACUGUCACGCCUGUACGCUUUGUCAAAAUGACACAAAAUUUGACACACAUAUGUAUCUCAAUAAGAUCUACAAAAAAGUCAGUGCGGCCGUAUCUGUCAAAUGUACGGUUAAAGGGCUAUUUCGCAUUUUUUGGCGAUCCGUACACAUUGGAAUUUCGCUAACUCCUCCGAAG